GACCAUCAAUUUGUGAUUGACACCCGAUUCUCCAUGAGUUGCCUACACCUUCUACUCAAGAUCCUGAACUAUAACUAUAGUCAACUAAUGUGAGGAGUAACUUACCCGAUCCUCUAGAAGAUCUCGGUGACUCUAAGGUGGGGCUAACUUACCAGACCCCUGUAGAGUCCAAGUCAUAUGAGAAGUAGAGGGAGACCCUUAGAAAACCUCAGGAGAGAUAACUAAUCAGAAGCUCAGAAUACUGCUGAGAGUGCAAGAUGCCCUAGGCACAAGCUCACCGCUGGCACACACUGUCCCUCACAUGA
rnacentral:lncRNA from 1 species